AUGAUGACCAAGUACAUGAGGAACAAUGUGCAAGGACUUGUGCUAAUUUCUUUUCUUCUUGUGGUGUGUUUGACUUGUCUUGGAGGCACAUAUGGCGAAAUCAUAAAUGACAAGGGGAGCAACAUGAUGAGGAAAGUAAGCCAUGUAACGAGACCCCCUUGUUAUAAAGAUGGGCACCAGCUCCCAGGACGGGAAUUCUGCUGUAAAAUAGAUAACUUGUGCUGGCCAAAUCUCGGAGAAUGCUUCACCAACUGUCCCUGCAAGAUUAAUUGCACACCAGCAGCAGCAGCAACAACAACACAAUAG
rnacentral:rRNA from 1 species